GUUAAUCAACUAUACUCCAAUGUAAAAUAAAAAAGUUUUUAAAAAGUGUCCUUUUAAAAAAAAAAAAGUCCUUUACUAUUAUUAAAAGCAACAACAGAGACUUGCUGCUCUGCUGCCCGGCCCUUGUAUUCUGGUCACCAGCCCUCUUUUCACAAGGAGUUGGAGAGAAAUUAUUGAAAAGAGAGCCUAAAAUUCUACUUAGAGUUUUAAAGUCCGGAGAUCUAUUUUCAGCACUAGGAUUGUAUUAAUAGAUACCGGUUUCCAGCUAAGCUCAUUUAAGAUGGAAGAGAUUCUGUGAUUUUCCUUCCACCCCAGUUGUCAACGGGCUUUGCUGUUCCACAGGGUUCUGCUGAAGGAGCCCUACAGUGACCCGGGCCCCUCCCACAAGGGCACGUUCCCCCACCCCACCCCACCCCAGACGCGCCCCCUCGGCCUGAGUGACGUCAGCUGCUGCUCCAGCCGGAGCCCCAGAGCCCGGAAAACGACCAUCCCCUUAGGAAGCGCCAGCCCCGAGUAUGGGGGACACGGGGCCCAAGACUCAAUUUAAGAAGCUCUGAGGUCCCCAAAGUCGGCUGCAAGGAAAGGAAAUCAGAGCAGGAAAGUGCAAGUAAGAGGAAGUUGGCAGCAAGGUAACUAAAUUGUUACCACUUUAAGUGGAAAAAAAAGAAAGAAGGGCUUAAAUUGGAAGGGUGGUGUCACAUGGACCCAAGACAAAUACUGCUAAAGAAUGGAAGUGUCUGUUUUCAUUUUGCCAGAGAUUCCAAAUGUGAUUAUAUGUAAACGAAUGCAAACCCUUCCCACCUUCAGCAAGGGUGAAGGGUGGAUUUCUAGGAGAAAUGCCUUUGUUGCCUUUGUUGGGUCAGAGAGGAGCCUGAAGGGGAGAGAGGCUCAGGUCAGCAGGGUCGAUGUGUUGCAGGAAAGAGAGCGGAGCGGAGCGCAAAAGGAUGGUCACAUCCCAGGUCUCAGUGUUUCUUCAAAAAUCUUCCACAUGGACGCCUGGCAGAUGCACUCGACGGCACGCAGGCCCCUUAAGAUGCGGGGCAAGAUGGACGAGCCUCCUUUUCUUAUAUCCUCAGGAGCCCUGUCAACACUGCAGGUGUCAUGACUCAGCGUAAUGAGGAUGAAGAUCAUGACAUAUAAUAAAAUGUAGAGCCAACUCAGACCAAGAUUUUUAAUAAGGCAGGAGCUUGGUUUCACACAUUUCUUCUUCUGCUUUAGUAUCUGGCCCAGAACCUGCAAAAUAAUCUCUCCUCGCAAAGUGCCAUGUGGUAAUUAGUGACUGUAGCAUGCUGUCUUUUCCUUUGCUAAAAAUGCCCCAAACUGUUUUGUUUUCUCUCUUGCCUGGGUAUUCUUAAUGAUCGUUCCUAUAUGUGCCUCUGUUUCUCAUCUGUUAUUUCUCCCCAAGUGUCCCAAGGAAGUGGGCUUAACAAUAGGCAUGUUAGGAUGAGCCCGAGGAGGUGAGUAUUGUUUCCACAGCUCUGCAGCCACUGCAUUGUUCUUACAAAGCAUCAAGGUGGAAUAGAACGACUCACUUGGAAGACCUCAGUUGGGCCAGCUGUACCACUACCUCAUGCAA